CAGGCCUAACACAUGCAAGUCGAGCGGAUGAAAGGAGCUUGCUCCUGGAUUCAGCGGCGGACGGGUGAGUAAUGCCUAGGAAUCUGCCUGGUAGUGGGGGACAACGUUUCGAAAGGAACGCUAAUACCGCAUACGUCCUACGGGAGAAAGCAGGGGACCUUCGGGCCUUGCGCUAUCAGAUGGGCCUAGGUCGGAUUAGCUAGUUGGUGAGGUAAUGGCUCACCAAGGCGACGAUCCGUAACUGGUCUGAGAGGAUGAUCAGUCACACUGGAACUGAGACACGGUCCAGACUCCUACGGGAGGCAGCAGUGGGGAAUAUUGGACAAUGGGCGAAAGCCUGAUCCAGCCAUGCCGCGUGUGUGAAGAAGGUCUUCGGAUUGUAAAGCACUUUAAGUUGGGAGGAAGG
rnacentral:rRNA from 1 species